CACGCGUGCAUUUCAUAAUCCUAUCCAUCCAUUUCCUAUUUUGUCUUUUAUGACUUAAACUCCACUUGACCGGUUGAUGCGCAUGUCUACAUGAUUUUAAAUAUUAAAAUGUUCACUUAAAUAAUGUCACGCCUGGACAUUUAUCUUCUGGGCUGGGCUUCAGUGCUAGCGUUAUCUACACCCCGCGCGUUUGGCCCACCAGCAUCAUCCAUUUUUUUUCUUUUUUUCUUUUUUUCAAUUCCACAUUUAAUUUCUAUUUUUG
rnacentral:lncRNA from 1 species